rnacentral:rRNA from 1 species
UACAGAGACUGCAAGCGUUAUUCGGAUUCACUGGGCGUAAAGGGUGCGUAGGCGGUUGGGUAAGUCUGUCGUGAAAUCUCCGAGCCUAACUCGGAAACUGCGUCGGAUACUAUUCAACUCGAGGAAUGGAGGGGAGACUGGAAUUCUCGGUGUAGCAGUGAAAUGCGUAGAUAUCGUAAGGAAGACCAGUGGCGAAGGCGGGUCUCUGGACAGUUCCUGACACUGAGACACGAAGGCCAGGGGAGCAAACGGG